rnacentral:rRNA from 1 species
UACGGAAGGCAGCAGUGGGGAAUAUUGGACAAUGGGCGAAAGCCUGAUCCAGCCAUGCCGCAUGAGUGAAGAAGGCCUUCGGGUUGUAAAGCUCUUUUAGUGAGAAAGAUAAUGACGGUACUCACAGAAGAAGUCCUGGCUAACUCCGUGCCAGCAGCCGCGGUAAUACGGAGAGGGCUAGCGUUAUUCGGAAUUAUUGGGCGUAAAGAGCGCGUAGGCUGAUUAGUAAGUUAAAAGUGAAAUCCCAAAGCUUAACUUUGGAAUUGCUUUUUAAAACUGCUAGUCUAGAGAUUUGAAAGAGGAUAGAGGAAUUCCUAGUGUAGAGGUGAAAUUCGUAAAUAUUAGGAGGUAACACCAGUGGCGAAGGCGUCUAUCUGGUUCAAAUCUGACGCUGAGGCGCGAAGGGCGUGGGGAGCAAACAGGGAUUAGAUACCCGU